rnacentral:rRNA from 2 species
CGAGACCUCAGGUCAGGCGGGGCUACCCGCUGAGUUUAAGCAUAUCAAUAAUGCGGAGGAAAAGAAACUAACAAGGAUUCCCUUAGUAACGG